CUGCAGCCAAUUAAGCCAACCGUGCUGCCCUCCCCAGGGUGCCCAGUGGAGAGUGACUGCAAACAGAAGCCUCAUGGGUAAUGUAUGCAACCUGCUGCUUAUACAGGCUGCCCUAAAGGACCCUGAAGACAGCC
ensembl:snoRNA SNORA70 Small nucleolar RNA SNORA70